AGGAUGAACGCUGGCGGCGUGCCUAACACAUGCAAGUCGAACGUCCUGUCUCGCAAGAGGCAGGGAGUGGCGGACGGGUGAGUACCACGUGGGUUAUCUACCGUGAGGUGAGGAAUACCGGCGAGAAAUCGCCGACAAGACCGCAUAGGCUCGAUGCAAGUCGAGCAAAGCUCGCUCGCAAGAGGGAGCGCCACACGAGGAGCCUGCGCCCGAUUAGCUGGCUGGUGGAGUAAUGGUUCACCAGGGCGACGAUCGGUAGCUGGUCUGAGAGGACGAUCAGCCACACUGGGAUUGAGAACGGCCCAGACUCCUACGGGGGGCAGCAGUGAGGAAUUUUCGUCAAUGGGGCAACCCUGAACGAGCAACGCCGCGUGCAGGAAGAAGGUUUUCGGAUCGUAAACUGCUUUUCUCGGGGAAGAGAACGGACGGUACCCGAGGAAGAACGCCCCGGCUAACUACGCGCCAGCAGCCGCGGU
rnacentral:rRNA from 1 species